CAACCUGUUUUGGGCCCAUUUUGAGCCUCUCUGAGUGCACGGUGGCCAUUUCAGAGGACUGCACACAUGCGCAGCGGCCACCCAAAAUGGCCACCAAAUGCUCGGGGAGGCCAGUAGGGGGAGGGGGAAGUGCCAGAGACCUCCCUGCCAGAGCUGCACUACCACCACCGAGAACGCAGAAGACCUCAGCAGCAGUAAAAUCUAUCCAAACUGCAAUAGUUUAUGGAAACAAUCAUCUGGAAACUCAACAAAGAAACAAAUCUAAGUAUUGACAACCUAAGGUGCUCCAGUCAAGAGAAAUGUAACCAUCACUGCAAGCAUGGAUUUUUCUCUCCCAGACCCCUUCCAUUGAAUGGAAGCCACUUAAAUAAUAACAAAUACUGUAUAGAUUCUACUAAAAAUGUCAUCAGGGCAACGGGGAGGGGAAGCCUCUGAUAAAUUAUCAGAUAGCUGUUACUAACACUGGAGAAACUCAACAGGUGAGCAGAGCAUUUAAGAACAUAAAGAAGAGUCCAUCAAGUACAGCAUCCUGCAUCCCACAGUGGCCAAUCAGAUGCUUCCAGGAAGUCCACAAGUAGGGCUUGAAGGCAGCAACCCUCCCUUGCUGUUGCCCCCGACCCAGAAAAUGGCAUUCAGAGGUAUAUUGCCAUUGAACAUAGAAGUUCCACGUAGCUAUCAUGACUAAGAGCUAGGAUUGACGUCUGCUCCAUGCAUUUGUCUAAUUCCCUUUUAAAGCUAUCUAAGCUAGUGUCCAUCACCACAUCUUGUGGUAAUAAAGUUCACAAAUUAAUGAUG